rnacentral:misc_RNA from 1 species
GAAAUGCGAUAAGUAAUGUGAAUUGCAGAAUUCAGUGAAUCAUCGAAUCUUUGAACGCACAUUGCGCCCGUCAGCAUUCUGGCGGGCAUGCCUGUUCGAGCGUCAUUUCAACCCUCAGGACCCCCCUUUCGCGGGGAGGGACCUGGCGUUGGGGAUCGGCCCGCCCCCCGCGGCGGCGCCGUCCCCGAAAUCUAGUGGCGGUCUCGCUGCAGCCUCCCCUGCGUAGUAGUUACAACCUCGCAUCGGAGCGCGGCGCGGCCACGCCGUAAAACCCCCGACUUUCUGAACGUUGACCUCGGAUCAGGUCGGAAUACCCGCUGAACUUAAGC